rnacentral:rRNA from 1 species
GUGGUUUUGGUAGUAAAUGGGGCGGGAUCCUUCGGGAUCGCCUGCUCGCAGAGGUGAUUGCGGCCCAUCAGCUAGUUGGUAGGGUAAUGGCCUACCAAGGCAACGACGGGUAGCCGGCCUAAGAGGGUGGUCGGCCGCACUGGGACUGAGACACUGCCCAGACUCCUACGGGAGGCUGCAGUCGAGAAUCUUCCGCAAUGGGCGAAAGCCUGACGGAGCGACGCCGCGUGGAGGACGAAGGCCUUCGGGUUGUAAACUCCUGUCACGAGUUAAGAAGGCGCAUGCGCGAACAGCGCAGGCGUUUGACGUAAGCUCGAGAGGAAGCACUGGCUAACUCUGUG